rnacentral:lncRNA from 1 species
CGGGGAGUAGCAUUCAAAGUGGUCAGAAAAGUCCACAACCAAUAUACAAUAGCACAAUACAAAACAGUUCUAAACAACCAUGAAAAUUAGUAGCUCCAACUCUUCUACACGAUCUAAGGUAGCUCCUACUUGUCUAGAUCUUCAGAGUUUUGUCCAACCUCCUUACUUACUUCUUCCUAACUCUAACCAACCUUCUCUAUUCUCUUUUUCCUUACUAUUUUCGUUAAGUUUUAUGAAUGGGAAAUAAGGGUUUUAUUCUUUAAGAUAGCAGUCCUAUGUUUGGAUGUCUCUAAUAAAAGAAGAAAUCAAUUUCCUUAAUCUAAGAUUAAUUGUUUCCCAUAGUUUCACUUAAAAGUCCUGUG